UCUUGCAUAGCUCAGUUGGUAAAGUAUCUGCCUGCCAUGCAGGAGACAUGGGUUCAAGUCCUGGGUCAGGAA
rnacentral:tRNA from 1 species